rnacentral:tRNA from 1 species
GGUCUUGUAUUCUAUAGUGAUAUCAAAUUGCAAAUUUGAAGGAGGAGGUUUAAGCCUCUUAAGGCUU